ACGGGAGGCAGCAGUGAGGAAUAUUGGUCAAUGGACGCAGGUCUGAACCAGCCAAGUCGCGUGAGGGAUGGCGGUCCUAUGGAUUGUAAACCUCUUUUGUCGGGGAGUAACGUGCGGUACGUGUACCGUAUUGAGAGUACCCGAAGAAAAAGCAUCGGCUAACUCCGUGCCAGCAGCCGCGGUAAUACGGAGGAUGCGAGCGUUAUCCGGAUUUAUUGGGUUUAAAGGGUGCGCAGGCGGCGCGUCAAGUCAGCGGUAAAAUGUCGGUGCUCAACGCCGGCCGGCCGUUGAAACUGUCGUGCUCGAGUUCGUGCGAGGAGAGCGGAAUGCGUGGUGUAGCGGUGAAAUGCAUAGAUAUUACUCAGAACACCGAUUGCGAAGGCAUCUCACGAAUCCGUCAUUGACGCUGAGGCACGAAAGCGUGGGGAUCAAACAGGAUUAGAUACCCUGGUA
rnacentral:rRNA from 1 species